rnacentral:tRNA from 1 species
AACAGGUAAAAAGGUGUUUAAGAAACAUAUCUGUUUCUUAAGCAUAUCUUUUUGUUUUCUUUUGUUUGUCCCGAGGAAGGUUUUUACCGAUUUACUCCUGAGGGCUUGUAGCUCAGUUGGUUAGAGCGCGCGCUUGAUAAGCGUGAGGUCGGAGGUUCAAGUCCUCCCAGGCCCACCAAUUUAUGAUUGCUGAUAAGUUUGCUGAUAAGUUUUUUGUGAAUGUUUUGAUGGUCUUUUAUCUUACGAUCUUUCACUUUUAUGUUGCAAUCUUUCAAAAGUAUUUGAACUGUUUUAGGGGCCGUAGCUCAGCUGGGAGAGCACCUGCUUUGCAAGCAGGGGGUCGUCGGUUCGAUCCCGUCCGGCUCCACCAUCUUUGGUUAUCAUCAUCGUUAAAGAACAAUGUUUUGCA